ensembl:processed_transcript
CGCAGCGGCAGGCUUUUACCCACGCAAAUGAGAGACGAAGGAAGCCGGGAAGCUGCCCUAGGCUGCCCCAGGUGGUGCCAAGAGAGCUGCACCGCCCUCUCCAUCCCUCCAGGCGCCCUGUGGUUCGCUGUGGCUGCGCCCAGUCUGGCUCUCUUUGGGGUCUCAGGUUUCCUCCCAGUCCCCAUCCAGUGGAGGUCUAGAAGCCCAAGGUCUAGAGUGUCACAGCUUCCCCUCCAGGGAUCUGAGGUCCUAACUAAGGGAAUCCCCUCGCCUCUCCCCACUGGGGCGCAGUCUGACGUGCUCGCUGCUCAGAGCACGCACACAACUACCGGUUUGUUUGUUUGUUUGUUUGUUUUAAUUUCUUCUAUUUUUAAUGAAAUGAGAGCCCUCUGUCAGGGUCCACAUCUGUACUGGUGGAAUUAGGUUGAAGUCUUUCAUGGAACUGCCCUCCAGGUUCUGCAGUCCUAGGAGCCCAGGGCACUCGCCUUUCCCAUGGACAGCUGCUGAGCUCUACUUCAUCCUUCAUCGGAAUGCUAAGUGUCCACAGCAUUGCUUUAAGGUAUUUUCCCCCUGCUGUUACAUAGCUUUUAUCAUUUUGAUCAGCAACUCUUUUCACGGGAUGUAACACUAGAAAGAAUUUGUUUUCAAAUGUAUCUUUAAAAAACUUUUUCUGUCCAUGUUUACAAGAAGGUAUGUUAUGGCAACGGAUCAAAAGGUAAUAGUUUUCCAUAACUAGCCUUAUUCUCGCUAACCUUAAAAAAAAAAUUUACUUCAUUCAGAAACAUUGUUUGAUAAAAAAAAUUAUUUGCCUAGGGAGGUGAUGUUUUGAUAGUGUUGAAUAUCAUCCUACUGUGUUUGUGUUGGCCAGGAGGGGGUGUGAGGAUGGAGUAGUGAAAAGUAACAAAGUAAGAAAAGGAGGAAAGUAAAACUUCAAUUAAACUGUACGUACUGGGCAUGGAUGGAUUAAAAAAAUGACACAGAAUCUGAAAUUAAACUAUAUUCUCAGGAAAGUUAAGUCAGGAAAGUGGUUUGAAGCAGACUGGGUAACACAGCAAGACCCCUGCUCAAAACAAAACAGAACAAAACAAAACAAAGCAAAAAUAAAAGGAGAGAAGAUCCACAUGGGGGAAUAGAAUCCACCAUGAGAAGAAACAGCACUGAGGAAACUAUAAAAUACCUGACUCUGCGGAAGUCUCCCAGAUACUCAUGGAAUUUUUUUUUUUUAACUGCUUGCUUCAUGUGCAUGCUAAUUUGAUGAUACAGGAGACACUGUGACUAAAACUCCAUGUCACCCAGGGCCUUUGUUCUAGUCAUGUUUAAUCAGUCCAGGUAUGGCACUCCCAACCUCUUUCACAGAGUCUUAUGGGAAAUUUCAACUGAAUGCACAGACCCUUCUUUUGGGGAAUCCCUUUAAAUAGUUCUUGUUUUCCAUUUUAUUUUAAAUGCGGGAAGUGCAUGGUGUCAAACUGUAAGUUUGUUAGAGCUCCUGAUAUGAACUUCAGCUGGGAACUGUAUAAAAUUCCACAUUCUUGACUGUCUAUGAACAUCUUAUAGUGAAAUCUUCAAUUGACUUUGACCAAUUCCAUCCUCGUCUGAUAUUAAUUGUAUGCCUAUUAUGUAGAGAAGUAAAUUCUGAUGUUUUAAAAGAGAUUAUGGCAAAGGGGGUGGUGGUGGAUGGUGAUGUUGGCCUUUAAUCCCAGCACUGAGGGAGAAGAAGGAGACUAAGCAGAUCUCUGAGGCCUCCCUGGUCCACAGAGCAAGUUUCAGGAUAGCCAGCUAUACACAGAAAAAUCCUGUCUCAC